CCCUUCCAGAGAAGUUUUCAUACACCACUGAAUCUCUUCUUUUCACAUAAAAAUAUAGGGGAAUUAAUACUUUCACACAAGUAUGGUGCAUAUCUGUUACUCCUUAGCAUAAAUAUUUCUUACCAGGAUAUUAGUAAGUCUUUAUAAGAUAAUAAAUAUUCAAACCCUCUAAAGCAGUAUGAACUGCUACAUAUAAUCCUCAACAUAAAGGAUUCUUUAUAUGUGGUCCAGGUACAGCCAUACCAACAUAUAGCAAGGUGUCUUACAACUGAAUAUGUGACUAGAUCAGCUAACGGAUGCCUUUAUUAUGGUUUUAAAAAGAUUUACUAUUUUAGUCUUAAAAAUAUAAUUAUAUCUUCAAAAUCAAUAGAACCACAUCAGGCCUUUCAGAUGGUACCUGACGGCUCCAUAAAGCUGAUCUACCUUGCUUGUGUCAUCAACUAAGGCUCAAAGGAAUCCUGAUCUUUUCAAAAAAAGGAACACAAGAUGGAAAAGAAAAAAAGAAAA